CAAAAUAGAAUCAAAACGAACCACAAUUGGGAGCAGGUUUCCUAUGGGUGACUGGAAAACUGGGCAAGAAAGCAAUUAUACUUCCACAAAAUCCCAAAUGCAUUAAUUUCCCCAAAGCUAUGCUCAGGAGAGCCAGACUGUUGAGAGAGAGAAAGCUAAGAGGAAGAAGUUCUGUCUGGGUGUUUAUCUUCUUUUCUUUACCUCCGUCAGCUACCUGGUGCUUUCAAGAGCUGGCUGAGAGAAGGGUUUCCUCAUGAGGCUAGACAAAACUUAUACAAUCUCUUCCCAUUUCCAAUAUUUAUUUCAGUUCAUCUGCUGAUUUAAGUACCUGCUUCGUCAAGUGCAAUUCAGACUGCAUCUUCAGACUGUGCAAGCAUCUAUCAAGCCUCUACUGUCAGACUUAUAAUCUAAAGAACACAACGCCGAAAGAAAGGUGAUGGGGAGGGAGAAGGAACAAAGCAAACACAGGGCUGCUCCCCCCUCUGCACAGCACCAAUCUGAAUAAAAGAGGCUUUCGCAUACCAUCCAACUUUUUCAAAAGCACCAAACUUCUUCUGGUGAGUCACGUGACCCACGCCUCACUCUCGCCCUGGAAAAAAGCGAGAGUGCAGCUCAAGAGUUUGCGGGAUCAUGGCACCCAAAAUGGCAGCCACGAUCUUGAAAAAAAUGAGAUGUCCCUUUUCCCCAGGGCACUUGGAGAGGCAUGAAGUAGGAGCUGCUGGAAAACCAGCCAUGCUUUGGAGAAACAAGCUGUGAGAUGGCUCGUGGUUUGCUGAACACGUUUUAAAACCAACGAUGGCCCGUUUGCUGAAGCCACGUUGAGCUGAAUGGAACGGAAGCACCCUGUUAAAUUUCUCCGGGUCAUUUGCAACUGCAGCUUGCUCACCUUUAUGCGCACGGGUCUCCUGAGCAUACGCAGCAUUCCCUGCAGCUGUCAAGCUAGCACACGUGCUUUCUCGGUGAAACCUGCAGGAGUUAGUUGCUCAGAAGUCGUUACUCUCUUCCUAUUUUCCGAUGUGUUUUUAUAGCAGCUUGUGCAGAAUUCCUAGCUUCAUUUAUAUGGAUCUGGGGUUUCUUUGUAUGCUUUUAAAAAAGAGAGAACCUGUUGUUUUUCUUGUUCUUUCUCCCCAAAGGCAGCAAUUUUACAGCAUCCUCAGCUUGUGUCUCCAGGUUUUAUGCUAUGGGACUCUUGUUUGAUUUUUCUCAUGGAACAGUCUUGUUCCCCUCACCCUUUACUAUUUCCCUCAUGCCUUGUAUUGCAUUUUUAUUACAGUGGAGACUGCGUCUACAGGUCCUUCCGGUUAUUUGUUCCGAGACUUUUAUUGGAUUCUCAAUAAAUAUGUGUGCCAUUGGGGGUCCUUAGUUGGUUUCCUUGCUUUUUUUAUUUAUUUAUUGAAGCUGUGCUUUCCAGCUGAAAUGUUAAGCGCCCA